GAUGAACGCUAGCGGCAGGCCUAAUACAUGCAAGUCGGACGGGAUUCAGGAGCUUGCUUCUGAUGAGAGUGGCGCACGGGUGCGUAACACGUAUGUAACCUACCUUUAUCAGGGGGAUAGCCUCUCGAAAGAGAGAUUAAGCCCGCAUAAAAUCACAGCACAGCAUUGUGUACUGAUCAAAUAUUUAUAGGAUAAAGAUGGGCAUGCGGAACAUUAGCUAGAUGGCGGGGUAACGGCCCACCAUGGCGACGAUGUUUAGGGGAUCUGAGAGGAUGGCCCCCCACACUGGUACUGAGACACGGACCAGACCCCUACGGGAGGCAGCAGUAAGGAAUAUUGGUCAAUGGGCGGAAGCCUGAACCAGCCAUGCCGCGUGCAGGAAGACGGCCCUACGGGUUGUAAACUGCUUUUAUACGGGAAUAAACCCAGAUACGUGUAUCUGGCUGAAUGUACUGUAAGAAUAAGGAUCGGCUAACUCCGUG
rnacentral:rRNA from 1 species